rnacentral:piRNA from 1 species
UGAUCCUUACGAAAACUCUGAGGGCAAG